UGCACGUCCCUGGACACCCACCAGUAAUCUCCUGUCCCACAUGGACAAAUACUAAUGAAGGUCCUUACAAUUUUAGGUUUUAAAUCAGUCUAGUUUGUUAAAGGAAAAACAUGUGCCUUCAUAAUUGUGAAAAGUCAAACAGACAGCACUUCAAUCUCAACAGUUUUACAAACCGCUGCAACCCAGCAACUCCAGUUUGGGCAUUUGUUCAGCUGUGUUGAUGUGUCAUGCAAGAUGUGUUGAAAUGGAGGGACACAGACCUGAGAAAUGAUUCACUCCUUCACUGAUCUUCUACUCUACUUCUCUACUCUACCAUUACUCUAGAAUCUAUGUAUGGCAACCAAUCUCUUCACCUGUUCACUUUUAAGAGAUACUGUCUAUUUUGGCUACAGGCCAACAGCUCCAUGGAAGUGUAGAAAGACAACUGGCUACACACAGUCAAGCACUGCC